AAGUCGUAACAAGGUCUCCGUAGGUGAACCUGCGGAGGGAUCAUUACACAAAUAUGAAGGCGGGCUGGAACCUCUCGGGGUUACAGCCUUGCUGAAUUAUUCACCCUUGUCUUUUGCGUACUUCUUGUUUCCUUGGUGGGUUCGCCCACCACUAGGACAAACAUAAACCUUUUGUGAUUGCAAUCAGCGUCAGUAACAAAUUAAUAAUUACAACUUUCAACAACGGAUCUCUUGGUUCUG
rnacentral:misc_RNA from 1 species